UACGGAGGGUGCGAGCGUUAAUCGGAAUUAUUGGGCGUAAAGGGUGCGUAGGUAGUGUUAUAAGUUAACUGUGAAAAGCCUGGGCUUCACCUGGGUCUGUCAGUUAAGACUGUAGUACUAGAGUAGAGGAGAGGGUAGUGGAAUUUCCGGUGUAGCGGUGAAAUGCGUAGAUAUCGGAAGGAACACCGGUGGCGAAGGCGGCUACCUGGCCUAUUACUGACACUGAGGCACGAAAGCGUGGUUAGCAAACAGG
rnacentral:rRNA from 1 species